rnacentral:tRNA from 1 species
CGGGGUGUGGCGCAGUCUGGUAGCGCACUUGCAUGGGGCGCAAGUGGUCGUGGGUUCAAAUCCCUCACACUGA